AGCGAACGCUGGCGGCAGGCUUAACACAUGCAAGUCGAGCGGGCACUUUCGGGUGUCAGCGGCGGACGGGUGAGUAACGCGUGGGAACGUGCCCUCUGGUUCGGAAUAACUCAGGGAAACUUGAGCUAAUACCGGAUACGCCCUUUUGGGGAAAGGCUUGCUGCCGGAGGAUCGGCCCGCGUCUGAUUAGCUAGUUGGUGAGGUAACGGCUCACCAAGGCGACGAUCAGUAGCUGGUCUGAGAGGAUGAUCAGCCACACUGGGAGUGAGACACGGCCCAGACCCCUACGGGAGGCAGCAGUGGGGAAUAUUGGACAAUGGGCGCAAGCCUGAUCCAGCCAUGCCGCGUGAGUGAUGAAGGCCUUAGGGUUGUAAAGCUCUUUUAUCCGGGACGAUAAUGACGGUACCGGAGGAAUAAGCCCCGGCUAACUUCGUG
rnacentral:rRNA from 1 species